rnacentral:tRNA from 1 species
GGGGGUAUAGCUCAGCCGGUAGAGCGCUGCCUUUGCACGGCAGAAGUCAGCGGUUCGAGUCCGCUUACCUCCACCA